GGUCUUCUUGGCCUCUGUUUCCCGGAAGUGGUUUCCCUCCACCUCCUCAGGAGGGCCGGCCUUCCCUAAGGGCGGAGUCUAGGGCUUCUUUGGGACUGAAUAUGCAUUAGCUUUUGGAAGUCCAGCUUUGAUUUUCCCCUAAGCAUUGCUACAAAGGCCGGACUGCGGCUCUGGGCACCGUUCACAUCCUCGGCCGCCUUUGGCUUUGUGACCUUGGGCCGGUUGUAUAAGCUCUCUGAGCUUCCCAGGUGACUUCUCUGCAAAGUGGGCUGGUAACGCCCGAGUUGGUGCUAAAUCCUAAAGUUCAUGCUGCGAACCGGUCCCUCAACAGAUCAGCCUCUGUUUGGUCUGGUGGCAUGCCCCACAGGCUCCUGAGAGACGUGAGAAGCAGCUUUGUAUGGGAGCCACCUCUGCUCGCGUUUCCACCCAGAACCAAAGGACUGACCAUUCUUUCAAUCCCUAAGCGGUGUCUUUUCUAUCUAAUCCUAAUAACCAAGCCUGGAGGAAUUGCAGACUUUCUGGUUGAAGGUUCAACAGGUCUCCUCGUUUAAGGAUAGAGUAAGUCUCACUGAAGCUACAGAGGAGAAUCUGGAAAAUGCAAAUGUUACUACCUUAACCGAAAGAGGGAGGAGGGGGCGCUUUCCUAAAUGGCCUUUACCUUGGACCUUUUCUUUCUCCUGGCAUUUGGGCUGCCAGGGAUCUUGCUUCUGCCCCACCAACACACUGAAAGCAAGAGCUCUUGACGUGAUGACUAAGGAAAAGAAUUUGGUUUUCAUUUGGAGACAGCUGAUUCUGAAGCCAUCUUAAAGCCUAAGCAUAGCACAACUGCAUUCAUGAUUCUAUGAAUUCUUUCCUACCAUUGGAACUUAGGGAAGGGGAGAGGAAGUGUGCAUCUAGGAAAUGUGGAAGGACAAGCUCUUCGUUCUUUCAUCCUUCCGCUGCCUUCUAACUCUGUGGUCGAGUGUGGUCUUCCCAGGAGAGCAUCUUCCAGGAAACUUAUUAGAAAGGAAGAACCCCAGGCCUCAUUUCACAUCUGAAGCAGAGUCUGCCUUGUAGCCGACUCCUCAGCCAUUGCUAGGCAUGCUAAAGUUGACAAGGCCCUGGUUUAACUCCUGGGGUGGUCUGGUUUAAAGUGAUGAGAUGGCAUCAAAGAUGACGGAAGGACAGAGUCCACAGAGCCAGAAUUUGGGGCAGUGGAGGCAGAGCACCUAUUUCCUGCAUCUGGGCACUGCCAGCAGGUUGAUUCAGAAGAUGGGUGAAAAAUUUGUUCCUGGGGUAGCAGGAGGAGCACCACGACUUUGGAAUCUUUUGCUUAAAAGAAGGAUGAGCUCGGCUGUUCAUACCAUACAUCCCGGAGGUCUUCAGCAAGGUGAGGUUCCUCUGACCAAGAAGCCGGCUGCCCAGAUGCACUAAGCACGCCUCCCUCGCAUAUUCCGGUGCAUUGCUCCAUCAUAAGUGACUAGACAUAGUUCCAGUGCUACUCAGCAGGAUCUCAUUGUUCAUGCAUUCCAAAGGCAAGAGUCUGCAUCUCAAAAAAUCAAAUACCUGGGAAUACACCUGACCAAGGAGUUCCUGAGCAUUGACCACAAUAGCCCUUUCGGUGGUCCUGGUGGCAGCCGUCCAGCCAGUUCUGCUGUCGUCUUUCUCGUGUGUUCCCAGCUGACACUACGAUUCAGCUCAGAAAAAGCUGGUGUUCAUUUAGUGGGUUCUCUUAAUCGUCAACAUUGGAUGACCAAUAAAUCUGCUCAAUAACAGGAAAGGGUCCCCACCUGGCAGACCCUCCUCGCGCGUGGGCCGGUAACGUGAUUUAAAGCAGCCAAUCGCGUCCUCCCGUGAGAAAGGGGUGGAGCUUCGUGUCUUGUUGCCACAGAGCCGGCUUCUGCCAGCCUCGCAGGUUCACGCUGUUCCUAGCUGGGCUUCACGUGCUGGGAGCUGUCUUCCCCUCAAAUGUUUCUGGCUCCACGAGGAUGAGACUGAGAACCAAAGAAGAGGUGGUUUCUGCCUUCGGAACCCACAGCUGAGUGGAGGAUUCAGAUGGUGGAGGUGAAGGUGCUGGUGGAUGAUAUAUCAGAAGCGACACCCCGGAACAGAGACCGCCUGUGACUGGAGCCCCAUUCCUGGCUGAACUGUACUGGGAAGAGCAGACCUGAGCAAGAUCUCUGAGACUUGGCCUCUGGCUUGAAGGUUGGACCACGGUGAGACUGAGAAGGCGCUUCCUGGAGGCCCCCAUUGACUCUGAAAGUUUCCAGUCUGGAAGAAAGAGAGCAGGUCGCUGCAAGCACUGAGGAUGAAAAGCCUCUGGAAACAAGGAACCGCCAGGCUUGGUCAGUGCCCCACCUGGAGAACAAGACCAGGUAGGUGACAGAAAUGAAGGGCAUGUCUGCUGAAUGAAUGUAUAGACAAAAUCAGUCGGUGACCUUAUGGGAAAAGGAAUCUCCCAGGUUUUCCUCUGCAGCAGUUUACGGACUCGUGCUUUGGAACAGCGUUCUUCUCGCUCACCUGCAGAGAUGCAGUGUGCCGGCCGCACCUCGGCGUG
rnacentral:lncRNA from 1 species